UAUUGCACAAUGGGUGAAACCCUGAUGCAGCAACGCCGCGUGAGUGAAGAAGUAUUUCGGUAUGUAAAGCCCUAUCAGCAGGGAAGAAGAGAGACGGUACCUGACUAAGAAGCCCCGGCGAACUACGUGCCAGCAGCCGCGGUAAUACGUAGGGGGCAAGCGUUAUCCGGAUUUACUGGGUGUAAAGGGAGCGUAGACGGCUUGAUAAGUCUGAAGUGAAAGGCCAAGGCUCAACCAUGGAACUGCUUUGGAAACUAUGAGGCUAGAGUGCUGGAGAGGUAAGCGGAAUUCCUAGUGUAGCGGUGAAAUGCGUAGAUAUUAGGAGGAACACCAGUGGCGAAGGCGGCUUACUGGACAGAAACUGACGUUGAGGCUCGAAAGCGUGGGGAGCAAACAGG
rnacentral:rRNA from 1 species